GACGAACGCUGGCGGCGUGCUUAACACAUGCAAGUCGAACGAUGAACCCGGAGCUUGCUCUGGGGGAUUAGUGGCGAACGGGUGAGUAACACGUGAGUAACCUGCCCUGGACUCUGGGAUAAGCGUUGGAAACGACGUCUAAUACCGGAUAGGACCUUGGAUCGCAUGAUCUGGGGUGGAAAGUUUUUUCGGUCUGGGAUGGACUCGCGGCCUAUCAGCUUGUUGGUGAGGUAAUGGCUCACCAAGGCGUCGACGGGUAGCCGGCCUGAGAGGGUGACCGGCCACACUGGGACUGAGACACGGCCCAGACUCCUACGGGAGGCAGCAGUGGGGAAUAUUGCACAAUGGGCGAAAGCCUGAUGCAGCAACGCCGCGUGCGGGAUGACGGCCUUCGGGUUGUAAACCGAUUUUAGUAGGGAAGAAGGGCUUCGGCUUGACGGUACCUGCAGAAAAAGGACCGGCUAACUACGUG
rnacentral:rRNA from 1 species